UACGAAGGGGACUAGCGUUGUUCGGAAUUACUGGGCGUAAAGCGCACGUAGGCGGGUUUGUAAGUCAGGGGUGAAAUCCCGGGGCUCAACCUCGGAACUGCCUUUGAUACUGCAAAUCUCGAGUCCGGAAGAGGUGAGUGGAAUUCCUAGUGUAGAGGUGAAAUUCGUAGAUAUUAGGAAGAACACCAGUGGCGAAGGCGGCUCACUGGUCCGGUACUGACGCUGAGGUGCGAAAGCGUGGGGAGCAAACAGG
rnacentral:rRNA from 1 species